CCCUUAGAUGUUCUGGGCCGCACGCGCGCUACACUGACGCAUUCAUCAAGCCUACAACCUUGGCCGAGAGGCCUGGGUAAUCUUUUGAAAGUGCGUCGUGAUGGGGAUAGAUUAUUGCAAUUCUUAAUCUUCAACGAGGAAUUCCUAGUAAACGCAUGUCAUCAGCAUGCAUUGAUUACGUCCCUGCCCUUUGUACACACCGCCCGUCGCUACUACCGAUUGAAUGUCUUAGUGAGGACCACGGAUUGCUGUCUUGGGUGGCAACACCCCUGACGAUGAGAAGUGGUCCAAACUUGAACAUUUAGAGGAAGUAAAAGUCGUAACA
rnacentral:rRNA from 1 species